CCGAUUAUCAUCCUAGAGUUCAAUUUUGUCGAUGGCUUCUGGAUCACAUCAUUGCACAACCAAAUUUUUUAUGAUAUGUUUUGUGGACCGAUGAAGCCUCUUUCACAAGAGACGGUAUUUUUAAUAGUAGGAAUAGCCAUGUUUGGGACGAAGAAAAUCCUUAUACAAUUUUUCCAAGAAAACAUCAGAAUCGUUGGUCUGUCAACGUAUGGGCAGGCAUUGUUGAUGAUUAUUUAAUUGGGCCAUACCUUCUACCGGAACGGUUAACAUUACCUAUUUAUCUACGUUUCUUGGAGGAAGUUCUCCCAGAAGUCCUUGAAAAUGUUUCAUUAAACGUUAGACAGCAAAUGUGGUUUCAGCAUGAUGGAGCGCCGAAAUAAUUUUGAAAUCAUUUUGAAAUCAUUCAAAACGAGGAUCAAAUGUUUAGUGUAGUCCGCCGAAAUCAUGUGCGGCGUUUAAAUCAGUCUAUUGAAAUUGGAGGAAGACAUUUUGAAUAAUUGUUGUGAUGGUACCAUAUACAAAAGGGCCGUAGUGGCGUAGUGACACAUUUCCGGACAUGAGUUCCUAUACUCAAAUGGAUUCUACUGUUGCACUGAACAACCCCUAGAAGUUUGAUCCUAUAGUUCUGAAACACCCUGUAUAAUCUCAUAUAAAGCUACUUAACGAGUUUAUUGAAAUAAACAUAUUUUAUAAGCGUG